UACGUAGGGGGGCGAGCGUUGUCCGGAUUUAUUGGGCGUAAAGAGCGUGUAGGCGGCCAGGUAGGUCCGUUGUGAAAACUCGAGGCUCAACCCUCGAGACGUCGAUGGAAACCAUCUGGCUAGAGUCCGGAAGAGGAGAGUGGAAUUCCUGGUGUAGCGGUGAAAUGCGCAGAUAUCAGGAAGAACACCUAUGGCGAAGGCAGCUCUCUGGGACGGUACUGACGCUGAGACGCGAAAGCGUGGGGAGCGAACAGG
rnacentral:rRNA from 1 species